CCACAGGACGCACCGUUGUGACAUGAGGACCCCCAAGUGACGUUCCAUCAUAUAAAGGUUUAGAAAAUGGUGAGACUGAAGUGAUGAGUGGUCAUAUGCCAAGCUAAAGGCCAUAUGGGUCUUUUGAAAAACAAACUCUUUUUGCACCUUGUGACCAUCAGUUUAUUGAGCAGAAGGGACUUACCAUGCCCCUUUUCUUUGGCUCAAGCAGUAUCACAGGCUGAAAGAGCUUUUCGUCAACCAAAUCAUGUAAUCUUCUUGAUGUUUGUUGCCUGCCAGAAGGGGACAAAGUGGGACUAACAUAGAUGGAAGAUGCCCCAUCUCUCUGAAUGGAAGGAUCGAACUCCAGGAAGGGGGCGAUAACGCCAGUUGCUUGGAAGAGCUGGUGUUGUAGUGUGGGUGUGAUGCUGUAGUUACUGGAGAGACUGAGUACACUGUGUGAAUCUAUUAAGUCCCCGUCCACAGUGAUGUACUGCCACAACCAAGGCUAGAGCUGAAUGUACUGUUUAUAUGCAGAGAGAGAACAGAGAGCACAUACAGAAUACAUGUUUUGAUUUAGAUAAAACCAAGGCGGAAAUGUGACUUCAUGCAAAGGGUAUAAUUUUCACAUUUCCACUUUCUCUUGUGUUUUUCUCAGCAGGGGCUUUCAAAUGUAUUCCACGCGAGGCGCAAGCCAGAGUGCCUCAUUUCUGCUUAAUGUUUUUGAGUGAAAAUAGACUGCCAGUUGGGUCAGCGGCAUUAAUGGACUUGGUGACUUGUUUGGCAUUUGGUAGAUGAUUAACAAAGCAGAGAACUUAUUUUACAGCCCCUUCCUGUUCCUUUUGGACUUUUGGCCUAAAUAUUUUCGUAUCCAUACAGAGAGAAACCUGAGUUAUUGGCACAAGCAUAGAGAUUGACAUGGCUGAUUCUUUGUCUGGAUGGGGAAAGAGUGAUAUACAGACUUCACUACAUGAUACAUUGUUCUACUUGAACUGUUUGGUAACCCCAUUUAUAGCAAAUGAAUUGGAUUUUUAUCCUAAAGGGUUUGCAGUUUGGGUAGAGCUUUGUUGUACCUGGGAUGGGAAGUAGACUAGCUUCGUGCAUUUGUUGAUUGUUCUCCUCUAAUCAGGGACUAAUUUAGACCAAGUUGGUGCAAUUAUUGGGUUGGGCAGAAAACCAGCAGGUUCCGGACCUCGUAAGGGAAGAGUUGAAUACCCCUGGUUUAGCCUAUUUGAACUAUACUGGCUCCGCACAGUGAAGAGCAGUCUUGCAGCGCACAGAAGGGCAGCACGUUAAAAUCAAGAGUAAUUUGUCGUUUCUUAUUUGCUAUAGCAUAUUUCAAUACAUGUUAUAUACAGAAUGCAAGAGUGGGAUGUAAGCCAGGCGGAGUGGAGGAUUCCACCAAAAAAGUAGCACAAAAUGUCUAGUCGGAAUCUCUUUCUCUCUGCCUGUGUCUCUGUUUGCGACUUUCUCUGUCGGAUACAUGGGCCUUAGGCUAUAUCCUGAACCUGUUCAUUUAAAAAAAUUUUUUUUUUAUAACCGACACUCCUUAACUGUCUUGCUGUAAAAAAAAAAAAAAAAAAUGUUUAGCCUAUAUUCCCUACAAUCUGAUAGGCUAUGAAUAUGACUUUGGGCUCUACUAUAGGCUAAGCUUUCAUCGUUUUAAGCAUUGCUUUCUCUCAAUCAAAUAAUUAAUGUAACAUGGUUCCUUGUCAUGUUUGAAUAUCCUAAAAAUGUAAAGUAGCCAGGGGAAUGAGAGCGAACAAACAAUAGCCUAUAGAAACAUCUAAUGACAUGUUUAAUCAAGUUUGCUUAUUAAGAAAUUAACUAUUUAUGCGGGCCGGGGAAACCCUCCAUGCGAGGUUGAAAACCUAAUAGCCAAUUACCCAUCCUCCUACUAGGCCUAGCCUAGGGAAGCCUAGGAAUAGGCAAUCACAGCUUUGAGAGAGAACAUUAUUUAUUUACUGUUUUAUAAAGCAAUUAUUAUUCAGUUCUGAAGACUAAACUGCUUCUGUCUAGCCGAUAACGUAUAACCUAACUCACUAUGUUAAGACAUCCCGUUCCUCAUCAGACAAUCACUGCUCAAUCAUGUGCGCGCGCCACACGCACACAAACCUGUUCCAUCCUGAAGCUCCUUCGCCAGAAAUUAAUAUUAGAAAAUAUUUGCUUGCAUUUAGCCUCUGCCCAGGCUUUCAACAUGAUUUUUCGUCAUUAUUCGAUUUCGCAUUAUAGUAGUUUUGGAUAAAAAAAUUUAAAAAACAUUUUGUGGGUUGACCAAUAGGAAGCAAUACGAUCAUAUAACACAAUGCUUUAUGGAUACAUAAUCGCGAUAGGAUAGGUUGACAUCUCCCAAACCUAUAGCCUAAGCCUUUUCUUCAUGGUGAGGGUUCAGUGGUGGUUUUGUUUCAGCGUAACAGACCUAUAGCCUAACCCCCACCCAAAUGAAUUUGGUUCACUGCUUGACGGUUCCUCUUUCUGCAUAUUUUUGUGUGCUCCUAGGGCUGAGUGAUAUGGCCAAAACACAUCAUAAUAUAUAACAAAUGUUAGUUUUUUAAAUACUAUAUUUUAUGUUUCUUGAAUAAAAUUAUACAUUUGCUUUGA